rnacentral:rRNA from 1 species
GAUGAACGCUGGCGGCGUGCCUAAUACAUGCAAGUCGAGCGAACGGACGAGAAGCUUGCUUCUCUGAUGUUAGCGGCGGACGGGUGAGUAACACGUGGAUAACCUACCUAUAAGACUGGGAUAACUUCGGGAAACCGGAGCUAAUACCGGAUAAUAUUUUGAACCGCAUGGUUCAAAAGUGAAAUACGGUCCUGCUGUCACUUAUAGAUGGAUCCGCGCUGCAUUAGCUAGUUGGUAAGGUAACGGCUUACCAAGGCAACGAUGCAUAGCCGACCUGAGAGGGUGAUCGGCCACACGGGAACUGAGACACGGUCCAGACUCCUACGGGAGGCAGCAGUAGGGAAUCUUCCGCAAUGGGCGAAAGCCUGACGGAGCAACGCCGCGUGAGUGAUGAAGGUCUUCGGAUCGUAAAACUCUGUUAUUAGGGAAGAACAUAUGUGUAAGUAACUGUGCACAUAUUGACGGUACCUAAUCAGAAAGCCACGGCUAACUACGUG